UACGUAGGGCGCAAGCGUUGUCCGGAAUUAUUGGGCGUAAAGAGCUCGUAGGCGGCCAGUUGCGUCUGCUGUGAAAUCCCGGGGCUCAACCCCGGGCGUGCAGUGGAUACGGGCAGACUAGAGGUAGGUAGGGGAGAAUGGAAUUCCCGGUGUAGCGGUGAAAUGCGCAGAUAUCGGGAGGAACACCGGUGGCGAAGGCGGUUCUCUGGGCCUUACCUGACGCUGAGGAGCGAAAGCGUGGGGAGCGAACAGG
rnacentral:rRNA from 1 species